GGCCUCGUAGCUCAAGUGGCUAGAGCGUUGGCUGUGCUAAAGCCUUCCCCAUGCUGUUGUGGGUUCAAAUCCCAUCGAGGCCA
rnacentral:tRNA from 1 species